rnacentral:tRNA from 1 species
GCAGUGGUGGUUCAGUGGUAGAGUUCUUGCCUUCCCUGCAAAAGACCUGAGUAUGAUUCCCAGCUACUGCA